rnacentral:rRNA from 1 species
GGCUGAAAUUCGCCUUCAUGAAGCCGGAAUUGCUAGUAAUGGCAGGUCAGCAUACUGCCGUGAAUACGUUCCCGGGCCUUGUACACACCGCCUGUCACACCAUGAGAGUUGGGAAUACCCGAAGCCUGUGAGCUAACUUUUAGAGGCAGCAGUCGAAGGUAGAAUCAAUGAUUGGGGUGAAGUCGUAACAAGGUAUC